rnacentral:rRNA from 1 species
AGCGAACAGACGAGGAGCUUGCUCCUCUGACGUUAGCGGCGGACGGGUGAGUAACACGUGGAUAACCUACCUAUAAGACUGGGAUAACUUCGGGAAACCGGAGCUAAUACCGGAUAAUAUAUUUGAACCGCAUGGUUCAAUAGUGAAAGACGGUUUUGCUGUCACUUAUAGAUGGAUCCGCGCCGCAUUAGCUAGUUGGUAAGGUAACGGCUUACCAAGGCAACGAUGCGUAGCCGACCUGAGAGGGUGAUCGGCCACACUGGAACUGAGACACGGUCCAGACUCCUACGGGAGGCAGCAGUAGGGAAUCUUCCGCAAUGGGCGAAAGCCUGACGGAGCAACGCCGCGUGAGUGAUGAAGGUCUUCGGAUCGUAAAACUCUGUUAUUAGGGAAGAACAAAUGUGUAAGUAACUAUGCACGUCUUGACGGUACCUAAUCAGAAAGCCACGGCUAACUACGUGCCAGCAGCCGCGGUAAUACGUAGGUGGCAAGCGUUAUCCGGAAUUAUUGGGCGUAAAGCGCGCGUAGGCGGUUUUUUAAGUCUGAUGUGAAAGCCCACGGCUCAACCGUGGAGGGUCAUUGGAAACUGGAAAACUUGAGUGCAGAAGAGGAAAGUGGAAUUCCAUGUGUAGCGGUGAAAUGCGCAGAGAUAUGGAGGAACACCAGUGGCGAAGGCGACUUUCUGGUCUGUAACUGACGCUGAUGUGCGAAAGCGUGGGGAUCAAACAGGAUUAGAUACCCUGGUAGUCCACGCCGUAAACGAUGAGUGCUAAGUGUUAGGGGGUUUCCGCCCCUUAGUGCUGCAGCUAACGCAUUAAGCACUCCGCCUGGGGAG